UACAGAGGGGGCAAGCGUUAUUCGGAAUUAUUGGGCGUAAAGGGCGCGUAGGCGGCCCUUCAAGUGGUAGGUGAAAUCCCUCGGCUCAACCGAGGAGCUGCCCGCCAAACUGAAGAGCUUGAGUCCGGGAGAGGUGGGUGGAUUUCCCAGUGUAGCGGUGAAAUGCGUAGAUAUUGGGAGGAACACCAGUGGCGAAGGCGGCUCACUGGACCGGAACUGACGCUGAGGCGCGAAAGCGUGGGGAGCAAAC
rnacentral:rRNA from 1 species